CUCUGUCUUCUCUGCACUGGGAGCAGCUCUCCUGCCACAGCCUCUCACCCCCUGAAAAUGUAUGCCUGCUCCAAGUUCAUCUCCACUCUCUCCUUGGUCAAGAGCACUUCACUGCUGCUGAGCCAUCCAUUAUCUGCAGUGGUGUUGAAACGACCAGAGACAAUGACAGAUGAGAGUCUCAGCAGCUUGGCAGUCUCACAUCCCCUUACCUCACUUGUCCCUAGCCACAGCUUCCAAACCAGCGCCAUUUCAAGGGACAUCAACAGAGCACCCAAGUUCAUUGGGGCUGGGACUACCAUAGUUGGGGUGGCUGGCACUGGGGCUGGGAUUGGGACUGUGUGUGGGAGCCUCCUCAUUGGUUAUGCCAGGAACCCUUCUCUGAAGCAACAGCUCUUCUUCUAUGCCAUUCUGGGCUUUGCCCUCUGGGAGGCCUUGGGGCUCUUUUGCCUGAUGGUGGCCUUUCUCGUCCUCUUCCCCGUGUGAGGGAGCUGGUCUCCACCUCCCAUAGCUCUUUCUCCCAUGCCUGGUAGGCCCUGUGUGUUCCUUUUCCUAUACCUCCUCAGGCAGCCUGGGGAACAUGGUUGGCUCAGGGUUUGACAGAGAAAAGAUAAAUAAAUACUGUA